GGUCAUUCCAGGCAGAGGGGUGGCCACACAGAGGUCCAGGUAGGAACAGAUAGAGCAGUUCCAGGAAUAGUGACCUUCCUGAGCAUGAUGGAAACGGGGGAGACAGACCUGAGGUGGGAGAAGGGAGCCUCGACUCCCAGCACUGAUGGAAACUGUGUGCCUCAUUCAGUUGGCAGAGGGGAGCCAUGGAAGGUUUUUGAGCACGAGAGUGACUUAAUCAGAACAGUGCUGGAGGAAGAGAAGGGGGUAGCCAUUUGCUGGAUUGGGGUGAGCUGGGAGGUGGCAGGACUAGUUACAAGGCGGGUACCACAGCUCACACAAGAGGGGAGCCCGAAGAGACCAGGCAGAGGGUCCUGCCAGCUCAAGGAGCCUCCCACCACAUGCCCAGCCACCCCCAACCAUCCUCAUGUCCCCAGAGUGAUUCUGCUUCUUCCCCUCUCCAGGGCCCGCCAGGAACAGAAGGCCUCCCAGGUUCCCCAGGCCCAGCUGUGAGUGAGG
rnacentral:lncRNA from 1 species